GUCUUCAUACAUUUAAACAUGUGGAAGAUGUUGUAAAUAGAGUAUCCUGAUGACCUCUGAGCUACAGAGAUAAAAGACUGAAAAUUUGCACAGUGCUGUUCUGUUGAUGGAAGUGAAAAUACCUCACAGCCUUAUGAACUCCUAACGGGGUAAUCAACCUCAAAAUUACUGCUAGAACUUCAUUUUUGUACUUACUACAUCUAUCUUUUAUAAUUCAGUUUUGAUUAUGCUGAUGUACUUGCAUCCUGUUUGUCUUGACAACAUCCUAAAACUACAGUGAGAUUGAAGGCGUUUGGCCUGGCAGUACUGACACCCGUCUUGAAUGUAACUUCACCCCAAAAGGGAUUACUCCUGAUUUAAGAGAGGCAGACUUAUGGCUUUAAAAGGUUUGAAUGUACAACGGUAACUUCAUGGGGGAAGAGCAGAGUUCCUGAAACAACACAAAUUCUGUGCCUGUUUUUCAUCAGGUGGAUGGAAGCUAAUAAGCCCUUUUCUUAUUUUAAAAGGUGGAAAAAUGGUGCAUUCACUCUAGCACUUAGGCUGAUGUUCUGCCAUCAUUUGUGGGGGAUAUGGCAUGCUUGUGUUUGUGGGGGUACAUUUUGUAAGGUCUCUCUAUGUAAAUGAAUUUCUUCCUCAUUAAUAAUAAUAGUAUUUUUUGUACUGUAAUACUUUUGUACCAAUAGUUCAAUCUAGAAAUGUUUAAUAUUAAAGUUUGGUUUUUCCUUUUAA